GAUGGCCUAGUGGUUAGAGCGUCCGCCUCAGAUGCGAGAGGUCGUGGGAUCUAACCCCAGCAGAGUGAUACCA